UGCUUAUGGGGUCGCUAUUAUCUAAAGGGUCUUCUUUUAAGACUUUUCCAGCCGUUUCUUCAGCCCUCUAAUGGUACUUCAAUCGUUUUCCUUCAUCUCCAACCGGUAUUAAUAUGUUGUUUAUGCUGAGUUUGCCAUGGUUCUUCGCCGAGCUUCCUCUGGUGUAUUUCUCUACGGCGCAGCGAGCAUUCCUUCCGGGUCAUGAGCAUUGGGUUGGGUUUAUAUUCAUCCUCUGUUAGGGUUUUUUUCUUGAUUUGGGCUUGGGCCUUCUUUGUGCAGAGUUUGAGUAUUGUUGCUGGAUUUCAUUAAUAAACUGGCCAGAGGCCCAAAUACAAGCAAUAAAUCCAGCAACAAUACUCAAACUCUGCA
rnacentral:misc_RNA from 1 species